rnacentral:rRNA from 1 species
UACGGAGGGGGCUAGCGUUGUUCGGAAUUACUGGGCGUAAAGCGCGCGUAGGCGGACCUGCAAGUCGGGGGUGAAAGCCCGAGGCUCAACCUCGGAACUGCCUUCGAUACUGCGGGUCUCGAGUCCGGGAGAGGUGAGUGGAAUUCCUAGUGUAGAGGUGAAAUUCGUAGAUAUUAGGAAGAACACCGGUGGCGAAGGCGGGUCUCUGGGCCGUAACUGACGCUGAGGAGCGAAAGCGUGGGGAGCGAACGGG